rnacentral:sRNA from 1 species
UCAGAGGCCCGACAGCCUCUUUCUCAGGAGGACGCAGCCAGCCUUUCCUGGAGACCCUUGUACCUUCCUUCUGCAGACUGGCAGAGAGCUGCCCUCUCUCUCUGGACACACAGAACCUUCCGAGAGCUGUUGAAAGAGGAAGAUGUUCACUUAACUUACCAAGACUGGUUACACCUGGAGCUGGAAAUUCAACCUGAAGCUGAUGCUCUUUCAGAUACUGAACGCUCAAGGAGUUAUGACCGCUCAGAAAAUUCUGAUUUUGUCUUUGGUGGCCGCACGGGAAAUGACGAUAUUAUAUCCAGAUUGCAGGAGAUGGUAGCUGACCUGGAGCUGCAGCAAGACCUCUCAGUGCCUCUCGGCCACACCCCCUCCCAGGGGCACUUCCUCUUUGGGAUUUUCCGCAGACGGCUCCAGGCUCUGACAAGCGGGUGGAGCGUGGCUGCCAGCCUUCAGAGACAGAGGGAGCUGCUAAUGUACAAACGGAUCCUCCUCCGCCUGCCUUCGUCUGUCCUCUGCGGCAGCAGCUUCCAGGCAGAACAGCCCAUCACUGCCAGAUGCGAGCAGUUCUUCCACUUGGUCAACUCUGAGAUGAGAAACUUCUGCUCCCUCGGAGGUGCCCUGACACAGGACAUCACUGCCCAUUUCUUCAGGGGCCUCCUGAACGCCUGUCUGCGGAGCAGAGACCCCUCCCUGAUGGUCGACUUCAUAUUGGCCAAGUGCCAGAUGAAAUGCCCCUUAAUUUUGACCUCUGCUCUGUUGUGGUGGCCAAGCCUGGAGCCUGUGCUGCUCUGCCGGUGGAGGAGACACUGCCAGAGCCCGCUGCCCCGGGAACUGCAGAAGAUGCAAGGAGGCCGGCAGUUUGCCAGCGAUUUCCUCUCCCCUGAGGCUGCCUCCCCAGCACCCAACCCAGACUGGCUCUCAGCUGCUGCACUGCACUUUGCCAUUCAACAAGUCAGGGACGAAAACGUCAGGAAGCAGCUAAAGAAGCUGGACUGCCAGAGAGAGGAGCUAUUGGUUUUCCUUUUCUUCUUCUCCUUGAUGGGCCUGCUCUCGUCACAUCUGACCUCAAAUAGCGCCACAGACCCACUGAAGGCUUUCCACAUUUGUGCAGCAAUCCUCGAGUGUUUAGAGAAGAGGAAGAUAUCCUGGCUGGCACUCUUCCAGUUGACAGAGAGUGGUAAGAAACACGCUGCUGAGGCGCAAAUGCGGAGGGCCGCUCUUUUCAGAGGCAACUUUCAAAUGGUUAAGAACGAGCCCUCCUUUGAGGUUCACUAAUUCAUUUCUAUGAGUUUAUGCUCUUGCUAAGUUGAUAAGCUCCAUUUUAGUUGGGACAGAUUAAGUACAAACUUGUUUAAAGCAAUAAGAUAAUUUAUUGGCUCACGGGUCAACCCCAGGACCAAUGGGCCUAUCGUGGGGACUGCCUCUGUCUGUACCACACCCACCCUAGUGCGAGA